GUCCUUUAUGAAAGGAAAGAAGGCUAGCACUCCCCUGGACAAGGCUGAAAAAGCACUUCAGGCCCAACAGUACACAUACUAUCAAAGUGUGGCUACUGAUUUCUUGGCAUCUCACCAUUGUUU